rnacentral:rRNA from 1 species
UACGGAGGGGACUAGCGGUUGUUCGGAAUUACUGGGCGUAAAGCGCACGUAGGCGGAUUUGUAAGUCAGGGGUGAAUCCCGAGGCUCAACCUCGGAACUGCCUUUGAUACUGCAAAUCUCGAGUCCGGAAGAGGUGAGUGGAACUCCUAGUGUAGAGGUGGAAUUCGUAGAUAUUAGGAAGAACACCAGUGGCGAAGGCGGCUCACUGGUCCGGUACUGGACGCUGAGGUGCGAAAGCGUGGGGAGCAAACAGGG